AAAUUUGGUACCAACUUCAGACUGCUGUAAUUUCUAAGCCACUCGUCUGACAGCUGUUAAAAUUAUUUCAGUAGCAGCUCAUUAUAUUGUUUACAAGCGUACAAAAGCAUUUUGGUGAGCAUUUUCCAAGAAAAAACGUAGCCCGACGUCAAGGAAGUGGACGGAAGAAAACAGCUACAUCAGCAAAAGUGGUUCGAAAAGUAAAGAAGCGACUUGAUUGAAACCCGCGUCGCAGUGGCUGAAAAAUGGCUCGUGAGCUGAACAUAUCGCAAUAUUCCAUUCGUACAUGAUUGA